ensembl:lncRNA
UUUUAUAAUUUUUAUGAUUAGCUUCUGUUUCUGUUUUUUCGGUUUUUAUUUGUGGUUUUGAAUUGUCUACUUUUUCAUACUUACAUUUUGUUUUAUUUGUUGUGUUUUUAUUAUUUUCUUGAUUUGAUUUACUAAGUUUAGGAUCCACUAUUAUAGUUUUAUCACUGGGUGUUGUAGUUGUAGUAGUUGUAGUAGUUGCAGUAGUUGUAGUAGUUGUAGUAAAAGUAGGGUUAAUCGUGUUUUCAGUCGGUAGAAUAGUACUAAAUGUGUUAUUAUUGUUGGGGGUGGUGGUAGUAGUAGUAGUAGUACUUAUGUUAUCAUCAAUCGUAUUAGCAUUAUUAUUGUUGGACUCUUCAUUAUUUGUAGUUAGAUUAUUAUUAUUAUUAUUAUUAUUAUUAUUAUUAUUAUUAUUAUUAUNNNNNNNNNNUUAUUAUUAUUAUUAUUAUUAUUAUUAUUAUUAUUAUUAUUAUUAUUUAUUCUGAAAAAUCGAAAACUCAUAUCGCCAAAAACACUUUGUGCGUAUUGCUGCAUACGAGAAUUAAAAUAAUCAUUGUCAAAGUCAGUAAUAUUUUCAGGAAGUGUAGUUAGCAAUGGAUUAUUAACGUUGACACGAUAUAGGUCAGCAUAACGACCAAAAAAUCCUGGAUCGUUGUUAUUUCUAUACCUAUAAAAAUGACUACGUAAAGGAGUGUUUGUAAAAUUUCUUUCAUUAGCAAAAGAUGUGUCUCUGAACAAAUUUUGAGAUGUAGUUGAAAAUGCUGAUCGGUACAAUUCUAAUCUUAAUACAUUUCCAGGAUUUAUAUUUUUAUAUGAUUUUUCUAUUAUAUAAUCUAUAUCUUUUUUUAUAUUUUCAACAUUUUCAACAUNNNNNNNNNNAUUUUCAACAUUUUCAACAUUUUCAACAUUUUCAACAUUUUCAACAUUUUCAAUAUUUUCAAUAUUUUUUUCCUUUUUUGUUUUUAUUUUGUCUUGUAUAAAAUCUUGUGCACAAAUUCGUAUGCCUGUUUGUUCUUUCGUUUCUUUUUUUUUUUUUUUUUUUUCUGUAAUAUGUUUGUUCUUGUGAGUCCCUUUUAACUUUUUCGCUUCCACUACUACUAGAACAACUACCGUUACUACUAUUACCACUUUUUAUGUU